CAGUAGCCGCGGUAAUACGUAGGGUGCAAGCGUUAAUCGGAAUUACUGGGCGUAAAGCGUGCGCAGGCGGUUAUAUAAGACAGAUGUGAAAUCCCCGGGCUCAACCUGGGAACUGCAUUUGUGACUGUAUAGCUAGAGUACGGCAGAGGGGGAUGGAAUUCCGCGUGUAGCAGUGAAAUGCGUAGAUAUGCGGAGGAACACCGAUGGCGAAGGCAAUCCCCUGGGCCUGUACUGACGCUCAUGCAUGAAAGCGUGGGGAGCAAACAGGAUUAGAUACCCGGGUAGUCCCUGUCUCUUAUAC
rnacentral:rRNA from 1 species